ensembl:lncRNA novel transcript
AGACAGACUAUGAAGAGAUACAUAGGGUGAGAAACGGAGGCCUUCAGCCAACAGCUGGGAGAAGCUGAGUCCCAUCAGCCAUUCAAAAGACUGCAGCCCCAGCCAAGAGUUUGAUGUAACCUCAGGAGAGACCCUGAGCCAGAACCACCUAGAAAUCUCCAAGUGAGAAGACCUUACUUGUCUUCUGAAAGUCUGGCCAACGAGCUAUACCUAGUGAUUCCAAAGUCCACAUAUAUUUACUCUGUUCUCACUGUACAAAGUAACCACUCUGAAGUCAAAAAAGCUGGGAUACAUGAAGACUGCCAUCCCUUGAGUCACUUGCCCUGUAGCUGCCACUGUUGGAAAAGGGCUUGCUUCUGUGUCCUUGUGCCCACUUUGAAAAUCCCUGGGAAGUCCUUGGAGUCAGAUGAGCAGGCCUCCGCCACUCUGCCAAAAAGUCUGUUCAGGUAUUUUUCCUCUGGAAAUGAGCUGACUAGGCACGCUACUUCUACUUGAAAAAGACUGAUGCUUGUCUUACACCAUUUUGAGGUCACCACAGUACAUGACUCAGAAUCAUUAGACAAAUGUUGAUUGAAUAUCUCCUACAUUCCAAAUACUGUGUUGAAUGUGGUUAAAGCAUUAAAUGUUAAUGGAAUAUUUUGUACAGUCAAGAAGUGAUUGCUGUCAUAGAAGAGACACAACACACUGGUAGAACACAGCAAUGAAAUUUGACUUGUGAUGUAUGUCCAGAAAAAGAUAGAUAACACAUUCUCUAAAAGUUUAGAAGAAAUUUUUGUCCCUUGGAUUGUAGUCUUGACUGAUUAAGAAACAGAACAACUUAGUUGAAUACUGAGCAUUGAUUCGCAAUCUAAUGGUGCCUGGGGAUGCCACCUGUUUUCUCGCAAUUAAAAUUUAAAAACAAAAUUAUACAAAGAGCAAUUGGAGUUUAAAACAACUGUAAAGAAAACAAUUAGAACAAAAAUCCAUUAAAUUGAAAAUAGUAAAACAAAGGGAAAAUGAACAUAAUAAAAAACUGUUUUUAUCAAAAGACUAAUAAACAAUUUUGAUUGAAGACACAGGUUACCAACAUCAGAAAUGAAAGAGGAGAUGAUCACCAAUCAUCCUGAGACAUUAAAGGAUAAAAACAGAAUACUAUUUGUAACUCUAUGCCUACAAACUUGACAACUUUCAUGAAAUGGACCAAUUCUAUGAAAGGUACAAACUACCAAAAUUCCCAAGGAGAUAUAACUAAUUUGAAUAAACCUAUUUAUGUUAAUAAAA